rnacentral:ncRNA from 2 species
UAAAACCUUCAGGGACAGGUGAAAUUCCGUACCGGCGGUAAGAGGUUAAGCUUCAAGCCCGCGAGCCCGCAAGGGUUGAUCCGGUGUAACUCCGGAGCCGACAGUAAAGUCUGGAUGGGAGAAGGUAAUU